rnacentral:lncRNA from 1 species
UCACAUAAAUAUUGCUUAAGACAAAGUUCCACGGGCAUUUUUUUAAACAAGAAAAGAUCAUAUUUUUAGCAAUCUAUAAUGUGCAUCCAAUUCAACAUCACACCUCUGGAUAAACAAAUUCCUUCUCAGCUUGAAUAAGGGGAUCAAAAACCUUUACAGGUACGACCUACUGCUCAUACAAUUUGGGAUCCUCAUUUUGGUUAACCAGCUGUGGAAGUUUUACUCGAGAGGUGGCUCUUAGCCCGAUAAAUAUCGAUUAUUUUGAUGUUUAUCAGUAGCGGUACACAAUCAAUUUAUGCACAAAUCAAGAUCUCUAUACGAGCACUCUUUUUCUAUUGUUUUUUCCAUAUGAGCACUCUUUUUUUAUUAUUUUUUUCUGCCAUAUGCUUAAGCAGGUUUGUUACAUCUACAACCGAAAUGGAAAUCGAGCAUUCCUUGAUUCAAAAAUGCCAAAUCUCAUCUGAAUCAUUAUUUGUCAGGACUUUUUGGCAUACGUUCCUUGGCUUGGACUGGAAAUUUAGUUCAUAUUGCUAUUCCUGCAUUCAGAAGAGAAUACUUCGAUGGAAUAAUUUCUUAGAUGUAUUGCUCAAUCUCUAAUGAUUAGGCCCACUUUUUACAGGUCAAUGGAAUCUUUAUGCUCAAAACGGUGAUUCAAGUAGUCGUCUCAGCUUGAAUAAGGGCGUCAAGACCCACCUGCAUCUUAGUGUCAAUGACAUUAUAGUAUGCCUUGACAUCUCUGAGAAGGAUGAGCAAUUGUUAUUUUUGUUUAUCUGCGGAAGCAAGAUUCUCACUGAGUCUUUCAACAAUCUCAAAAUCUCUGCUUUACGAGCUUCAUCUAGCUUCUUCUCCAACUCAGUGUAGCAGGUAGAUGCCUCAUUGAAUUCUUCAACAACUUCUCUUCUGUUACGGAUAGAUUGUCUCUGCGGUGAUGGACAUUACGACCUCCUAGGUUAACUUAAGCUUGUUUGGUAUGGUGGCUCUAAUUCGAUCAAAAACUUGACUGAGCAAAAGAUGCGGACAAUUGUAUACAAUAUACAAUUAUGUUGGUGCAUUUUAAUAUUAAAAUUAAAUUGCGUGAUAAUUUAUGGAUAAUAUAAAGUGAAGAAAGUGGUGGUCAUUAGUUUGUGAUAACUGUUGUAACAUCUCACUUUAUUAAUCCAUAAUUCUACCACUUAAUAUUCCUUUACUCUCAUUAUUUUUAUGUCUUUAAUUUAUGAGUUAGUGGUAAGAAUGUCCGAAUAAGUUUUUUGUAACUUCUACCAUUAUUCUACCUCUUU